GGCCCUAUAGCCCAAUUGGCAGAGGCAGCCGGCUUAAAACCGGCCAAGUGAGGGUUCGAGUCCCUCUGGGGCCA
rnacentral:tRNA from 1 species